rnacentral:tRNA from 1 species
AAAAUUUUAGUUUAAUUAUAAAAUAAUUCAUUUACAUUGAAUAGAUUAAUCAUUAAAAAAUCAUUGUUAAAAUUUUU